UAUCGGAACUUGGUGGCAUUUGGUUGUGGAGUGCGCGUUAAUACUACUAACUACUUAACGUAUUUUCGUUGGCUACAAAACGAGCACGAGUGUGUUUAUAAGCACAAUCAAGUACUAACUCCCGAACCGAUGACGGUGUAUUACAAGUGGAUGGAUGCGCGCGCGAUUUCUCUCUCAAUUUUGCCUGAGUGCAGCAUUAUUUACGAUUUUAAUUCGCAUACAGCAGCCGUAAUUAAAUUAACAGCAGCAGUAAACUAAACAAGUGCCCCUGAACGCAUAUAAAUGGAUUGCGCAAAAAACGAAAAAGUAAUAGUCAUAUUAAAAAAAAAAAAAUAAAAAA